rnacentral:lncRNA from 1 species
UUUCUUUUCACAGGAAUUUUCAUACCUUGGAGAAUAACACUAUAUGUUUCAGUGAGGAUGAUCAGGUCUACAUUCGUGGAACGCUUUUUGGAGAUGAUGUCUUUCAUGAAUUUGGCAUAUAUUGGCAUUUGUUCUAGAGCUUCAGAAAAUGGAAUGUUUAUUUCAAUUUUCUUAAACAUUUCUAAAAACUUCUCAAAAUUCUUUUCAUGUUGAUCUUUC